rnacentral:rRNA from 1 species
UACAGAGGUCUCAAGCGUUGUUCGGAUUCAUUGGGCGUAAAGGGUGUGUAGGUGGCGCCGUAAGUCGGGUGUGAAAUUUCGGAGCUUAACUCCGAAACUGCAUUCGAUACUGCGGUGCUUGAGGACUGGGAGAGGAGACUGGAAUUUACGGUGUAGCAGUGAAAUGCGUAGAUAUCGUAAGGAAGACCAGUGGCGAAGGCGGGUCUCUGGACAGUUCCUGACACUGAGACACGAAGGCCAGGGGAGCAAAACGGG